AACGAACGCUGGCGGCAUGCCUAACACAUGCAAGUCGAACGAGAUCUUCGGGUCUAGUGGCGCACAGGUGCGUAACGCGUGGGAAUCUGCCCUUUGGUUCGGAAUAACAGUUGGAAACGACUGCUAAUACCGGAUGAUGACGAAAGUCCAAAGAUUUAUCGCCAGAGGAUGAGCCCGCGUAGGAUUAGCUAGUUGGUGUGGUAAAGGCGCACCAAGGCGACGAUCCUUAGCUGGUCUGAGAGGAUGAUCAGCCACACUGGGAUUGAGACACGGCCCAGACUCCUACGGGAGGCAGCAGUGGGGAAUAUUGGACAAUGGGCGAAAGCCUGAUCCAGCAAUGCCGCGUGAGUGAUGAAGGCCUUAGGGUUGUAAAGCUCUUUUACCCGGGAUGAUAAUGACAGUACCGGGAGAAUAAGCUCCGGCUAACUCCGUGCCAGCCGCCGCGGUAAAAC
rnacentral:rRNA from 1 species